UGAUAUAAAUCUUCAUGUAUAUCUGCAUAGUAACUAGCAUAGUUAAAAGCAAAGGGAAAUGGGCUGGAAGGGCAAAACCAUUGCUUGUUUGGCUUGAUUAUUUGCAGCACUAACAAUUUCCUUAAACAAUUCUGACUUACAUAUCAAGAGAAGAUGAAAAGAACAACAAACUGCAUACCAAACUAGUGAAACCUACUCAUUCAACAAAAGAACAAGCCGCAGCAUUGCAAUGCCAACAUUUCCAAUUCAACCCAUAGAUAUCAACUUCCAUACGAGAUUAGUAAUUGCUAGUUUAUGAACAAACCAACCAUCUCCAACUUAUUUCUCAGUAAUGAAAGUUCUUUGCCUUAUGAUAAUAGCAUUCCGUUGACUGGCCCUUCUUAAUUGUCGAAAUCUCAGUCCCACCGUUAACAUAGUUGAUCGGAGAAACCCCAAAUCGACCACCCGGUCGCAGAAGCGCCCGGAAAAAUCCGAUUUUAUGCCGAUACCUUUAUAACAAACCUUCAGCUUGAGUCCAAAUCUCGCCAGAGAGCCAGAGGCAGAGCCAGCGGCGCUAUGCCCGAUCAUGUUGCUUGUAUUUAUACUUUCAUUUAUCUUCUGUGGUUUCUCUUUUAAUUUGUUUUUCUUGGGGGUGGCGCAUACAUUGAUACUCUUACAAGAUUUUUCUGUAUGCUUAUUUCUGCCUUCAAAACACUUUCAUAUCCUUGAUUUAGUUUGAGUUAUAGUGUUUGACGUACUGUGUAUUCCUUUCUCAGACUAUUCCGGGUCUUUGUUGGGACCUGGCUCAACUCCAAGACACAUACAUAUUGCAAGGUGAUUAUGACUUUAAAGGUCAUGCGACAAGAAUAUUACAUUAACCGGCAGAAAGCGUUUAUAAAUCAUCUUGUUAAUCAGCUUGCAAGGCAUCAGUUCUUAAAAAUGCCUUGUCGGUUGGAAAAGAAAAAUAUGCUCGGAUCAUACUCCUUGCUU